rnacentral:lncRNA from 1 species
GGUUGGGGACGGCUGCCUAUUUGCACCGUAACCUAUUGAUACAUUCUUUACCAGUCUAUUGUAUGAUCCAAUUUCUUUAUUCAUAAUUAAAUAAUAGUUUGGCUCAGGAAUUUGGGGAAUAACAGAAAAUUAGAUUUUCAGCAGGGAACACAUCAAGGAAGCAUAGAAUCCAGUAAGACACACUGCCUUGCGGUCAGUCCCUCAUGUCCCAGAUCUCAGCAUUUCCUGCUCCAUCUACAUGAGUCCUGUCCCUCCAGGGGUCCUGGAAAAGAAGAACCUCUCCAAAACACUCACAUCUCUCUGGAGGCACUCACUAGAAAGUUGGAAUUGUUUUUGGUAAAUGGUAACUGGGAAAAUGUUUUUCAAACUAUCUUUAGUUCCCCAAGUGUGUACUGUCAUGGUUGCUACAGGUGAAAUUAUCAUUGCAGUUUUGAGGGGGGAUGAUGUCACAAGAUCUCGAACCCAUAUCUCAGAACAGCCUGCCUCCUCCCACACACUCUGGCUGUCCUGACCAUCACUUCAAGCCCACCAGCCCUGCAGCAAAAAAACUCAAACGAGUAGUUCAGAAGGCAUAGUCUGCAAGGGAAGGAAGUGUAUUGGGAGGUACAGUAAGUGCUCUUGUCUGGAGAAGGUCUUCUUUGGGGCUAGAAACUGAGCCAGUGCCAAAGCCAUGCAGGAAGGAGGAAAUAAUCAGUGAGCCACGGGCUGAACUUGUGGAGAAGGAAUGGAGGGGCGAGGUCACAAACCAGUCCCUAACUGCUUCUAAUUUAAUGUAAUCCUCACUGUUUGUCAUUAUUGCUUUUGAUAGCCAUGAAAUCUGUUUUUUCCCAGUUCUCUAGUAUAAUUUGGAAUUAAUUCCUAGCUGCUUUAUUAUUUUUCUAGACAAGUCGGGGACAUUUUCAGGAUUAGUAGAGGUGUUUCUACACCUUCAUGCCUUUGAUAAUGUGUAAGAGUUCACCAAUCGAAAUACCUUAUUCUGUUCAGAAGUAGUAACUAUAGAGUUUAACCACUCUGGAUGUAUUAUAUACUUCAUGGAGACCAUAGCUGUGUGGUGACUGAAAACAUGCAUUGUCUACUCCUUAUGGUGAGACUGCUUUCCUUCAUGAAGUCAGUAAAGAAGGGUAACUUUUCUGUAGAUUUUUGUAUUUUUAAAAAAGGUCAAGAUCUUCAGCAGUUUUCCGAAUUGAAUUGUUUGUGAUAUUUGCUCUGUUUUUAAAAUGUUCUAAGGCCAUUACCAGGUUCAGUGCUUAUCUUAGUACAAUUUAAAUUGAUUCCGUGAAUAAUUUUUCCUGCCUCCAGUUUCCCUUUUACAUGGUGGGCUCAUGUUUUAAUAUGUUAAACAAUUCUGACAUUGAAAUAAUUUUAUUUUAUAUUUUUGCAUUCACAAAUACUAAUUUUCUCCAUAUAUUAAUGGUAAUGUAGUUUCUCCUCUGCAAUAUUUUAUUGCCUACUCAUGUUUUAUGUCCCCUGGAUUACUGCACUAUCAUUCCACUGUGCCCUAUUUCUUGGUAAUGAUGAAAAGACUCUCUUUUAAUUCCAGUAUGAAAUCAUUUCUGCAUUCCAUGAAUUUCAUUUGGCAUCUGUGGAAUUAAGGCAUCUUCAUUGUAUUUGGUUCUCUGAAUCAUAAGUGAUAUUUGCUUAUAAAUUAAGCAAUGAUAUUUAAAUAAGAGAUUACCACAAUCAUAUUUUAUAAAUAUACAACCAUUUUUAAAAACCUGACAAAAUCUACAAAAAAAAAGAAAAUGGAAUAUAUGUGGAGUUUUAGAAAAGACUGACUAGGUCCAAGGUUGAGGCACAUAGUGGUUAAGCACAUUGUCAGCUCCUGAUUCUGCCUCUUACAAGGAAGGAGGGGGCUUUAGAUGUUAUUUAGCUGUUAUUUAGCCUUUCUACACCUAAGUUCCCCUCACCUGUAAAAAAAUAAUAA